AACGAACGCUGGCGGCAGGCUUAACACAUGCAAGUCGAGCGCAUCCUUCGGGGUGAGCGGCGGACGGGUGAGUAACGCGUGGGAACGUGCCCUCUUCUACGGAAUAGCCUCGGGAAACUGAGAGUAAUGCCGUAUACGCCCGCAAGGGGAAAGAUUUAUCGGAGGAGGAUCGGCCCGCGUUGGAUUAGGUAGGUGGUGGGGUAACGGCCUACCAAGCCGACGAUCCAUAGCUGGUUUGAGAGGAUGAUCAGCCACACUGGGACUGAGACACGGCCCAGACUCCUACGGGAGGCAGCAGUGGGGAAUCUUGGACAAUGGGGGCAACCCUGAUCCAGCCAUGCCGCGUGAUCGAUGAAGGCCUUAGGGUUGUAAAGAUCUUUCAGCUGGGAAGAUAAUGACGGUACCAGCAGAAGAAGCCCCGGCUAACUCCGUG
rnacentral:rRNA from 1 species